rnacentral:rRNA from 1 species
CAGCCGCCGCGGGAAAACGUAGGUGGCAAGCGUUGUCCGGAAUUAUUGGGCGUAAAGGGCUCGCAGGCGGUUUCUUAAGUCUGACGUGAAAGCCCCCGGCUCAACCGGGGAGGGUCAUUGGAAACUGGGAAACUUGAGUGCAGAAGAGGAGAGUGGAAUUCCACGUGUAGCGGUGAAAUGCGUAGAGAUGUGGAGGAACACCAGUGGCGAAGGCGACUCUCUGGUCUGUAACUGACGCUGAGGAGCGAAAGCGUGGGGAGCGAACAGGAUUAGAUACCCGCGUAGUCCCUGUCUCUUAUAC